rnacentral:rRNA from 1 species
UACGUAGGUGGCAAGCGUUGUCCGGAUUUAUUGGGUUUAAAGGGUGCGUAGGCGGCCUUGUAAGUCAGCGCUGAAAUAUCCCGGCUUAACCGGGAGGGUGGCAUUGAUACUGCAGGGCUUGAGUAAAGUUGAGGUUGGCGGAAUUGACGGUGUAGCGGUGAAAUGCUUAGAUAUCGUCAAGAACACCGAUAGUGAAGACAGCUAACUAAGCUUUAACUGACGCUGAGGCACGAAAGUGUGGGGAUCAAACAGG